CCGCGCGAAGGUAGCGUAAUCACUUGUUUUUUAAAUAAAGACUAGUAUGAACGGCCACACGAGGACUUAACUGUCUCCUUUGUCCAAUCAGUGAAACUGAUCUCCUCGUGCAGAAGCGAGGAUAUUCCCAUAAGACGAGAAGACCCUAUGGAGCUUUAAACUUUUUAUCAACUAUCUUCUUUAUCCCUCUAAGGAACUAACACCCAAUUUAAUUCCCUUGAUAAAAGUUUUGGGUUGGGGCGACCAUGGAGAAAAAGAAAUCCUCCCUGAUGACAACCUAACCAAGAGCCACAGCUCUAAGUAUUAAGACACUUAACUCCUAUUGACCCAUUUUAUGAUCAACGAACCAAGUUACCCUAGGGAUAACAGCGCAAUCCAUUUCAAGAGUUCCUAUCGACAAAUGGGUUU
rnacentral:rRNA from 1 species